rnacentral:rRNA from 1 species
AGUCAACGCUGGCGGUAGGCCUAACACAUGCAAGUCGAACGGCAGCACAGUAAGAGCUUGCUCUUACGGGUGGCGAGUGGCGGACGGGUGAGGAAUACAUCGGAAUCUACUUUUUCGUGGGGGAUAACGUAGGGAAACUUACGCUAAUACCGCAUACGACCUACGGGUGAAAGCAGGGGAUCUUCGGACCUUGCGCGAUUGAAUGAGACGAUGUCGGAUUAGCUAGUUGGCGGGGUAAAGGCCCACCAAGGCGACGAUCCGUAGCUGGUCUGAGAGGAUGAUCAUCCACAGUGGAACUGAGACACGGUCCAGACUCCUACGGGAGGCAGCAGUGGGGAAUAUUGGACAAUGGGCGCAAGCCUGAUCCAGCCAUACCGCGUGGGUGAAGAAGGCCUUCGGGUUGUAAAGCCCUUUUGUUGGGAAAGAAAAGCAGCAGGUUAAUACCCCGCUGUUCUGACGGUACCCAAAGAAUAAGCACCGGCUAACUUCGUG